rnacentral:rRNA from 1 species
GACGAACUGUCCAAACGUUGUUCGGAAUCACUGGGCUUAAAGGGCGCGUAGGUGGUUCGUUGUGUCUGUGGUGAAAGCCCCGGGCUUAACCUGGGAAUGGCCAUGGAAACUGGCGAGCUGGAGUCUGGCAGAGGGGGGUGGAAUUCCGCGUGUAGCAGUGAAAUGCGUAGAGAUGCGGAGGAACACCGAUGGCGAAGGCAGCCCCCUGGGCUAAGACUGACGCUGAGGCACGAAAGCGUGGGGAGCAAACAGG